CAGAGUUAUUAUGCACCACGUUAGCUGGGGUUCUUGCAAUUAUCAAGCCCGGAGAACAAAACACACAGUGGCCCCACGAAAUCGCCCUGAGUGUGGCCUAGAUUGCAAACUGCUGUCCAGAUGUUUUCUGCACAGUGCGGGUGUGUGGCAUGCAUCUGACUCGAGCAUCUGCAAGCGAACUGGCAGGAAGCACCGGGGAAGAGCUGGACCGUGCUACGGAGGCAGCAGCCAAACAGAUCACAUGCAAAACGCCAAGGUCCCGUGGGUGGGAAGCCGGUCAGGGAAAUGGGUAAAAGCUUUCAAGGUUUGUUUUGUUUUGUUUUGAUUUUGCUUUGUUGUGUUCUGUGGUUUUGAGCCAGGGCCACGUGUUACCGUAAACCAUGCUGUGUAGUAGAGCAAGACCUUCACUACCAAUCUUCCUGCCUCUACUUCUGAAGUGCUGAGAAUACAGGUGAGAAGACACCCCUGUGUGUGUGGGGGGGUGCUCAUCCCCAAAUAACAUACCACGGAGGCAAAGAAGGACGAACUGGAGGUGUUUGAAGCUCACCCAACCCUGUGAUCACCAAUUCCCACCGAGGUGUUUGAAGCUUGCCCAACCCCGUGAGCACCAGUUCCCACCUGCUGGAAGACGCUGAGCCUAAAGCAGCUUCAGCCCAGAGGGAGGAGUUAGAGCCACAGUGUUUUCAAAUGAACCACACACAGCUUGUGUAGAGUCCACACAUGGCAUGGCACCCAAGGGCUGUGGAACACCUACGGGGCUUUCAGAUGAGUGAGGCCCCGGAGCUUUGUGUCCUGUUGGAGAUGACUGCUAACUUCUACAGCGUGUCUGUGUGGUUCCUGGUUUUCAUCUCUCAAGAGAAGUGCGGGGUGGAGACAGACCAGUGCUCCUCGCAGGCAACUUUCCGGGCUGUCAGGGUUGAGGUUAAGUGAGAAUCCAAAGCAGAGUAUGGCAUCCUGAGCUUCAGUACGAUCUCCAUCAUCCCUAGGUCCAACCUUCUCCCAGUGGUAGCGGGGUGCCUGGCUGUCUAAAGGAGCUGUAGGACGGAGUGCCACACAGCACAGAUCAGCAGGAUGGGGCUGCAUACAAAAUACGCUGAGGAUGCUCACCGCAUGCCUAAGACAUUCUCUGGUAUUGAGACAACCUUCCCCAAAGCGUGGCUAAAGCACAGGUCCUUCCCUGUCCAUCACUGGGGAAUCGGGCCUGUUUCUGUGACAGCAGCAACAAAUGGGUAAUGGGGGACCAAUCAGAAAGCCCCUUGCUGCACACGUGACAUGAGACCCUCCCUACACACAGCCUAAAGCAGCCAGCAGCAUUGGAGGUUUCUGUGGGGUACCCAGCCCUAGCCCAGGCUGGCUGUCCAGCUCUGCCCAGGCUGUCCAUCUCUUUGCCUCUGCAGCACUGUGAACACCACCCGGUGUAUAAGCUCAUCCUAGCAGCCUGGAUGAUCAGUGUGAGCUUGGCAUUGGCAGCUAUUUCAAAACAGUUGCCAAACACUUUAAAACAAAAAAACCAAAAUAAAAAAAAAAAACAAACAAAGACAUUUUUAUU